GUUUUGUUUUAUUAUUGUAAAAAUACAGUUUAUCUGACAGCACAAAUUGUGCUGCUUGAAGCUAUAGUUAUUAUCAACCAAAGUAAAACAGUUCUUAUAGGCUUCAUUGAUUAACUCCAAACGUAGAUCCUGGUCCUUGAUUAUCAUUCAAUGAUUCAUUGCACUGCGGGAAUCAGGUUGAACUGGUUCUUCCUGCUGAUUUCUGUGAUUGUUGCUCGCAGCCUGUGCAAUCUGCAUCAUCAGGGUGCUUAAUAUUAAUGGUGGGUAGCGCUGCUUAAAGACGGAUUCAUGGAAGCACCUAGCAGAAAUGCCACAAGCUUGGCAAUCCAAGUGUGAAGUUCUCUCCUGCAUAGUGAUUGCAGGGAUGUGCAACUGGACUUGAGAAAACUGAUUUCAAAGGAGAAAAGUAUGUCCUCUCCACUCUCUCAGGAAUUAACCUGUUGCCCAGGAUCUUGAAGACCUGACGAUCAUGUACUGCUUCAGGAAAUAAUGGGGGAAAUGUGGCUCCAGUAACCUGCAGUUAAUGCAGAGGAUAACCAUGAAUGGACAUUGUAUGAAUGGGUGGCGUUUUGGACUGGGAAUCCUCUUCAAACUGAAUAAGUCCUGACCUGAAACGUCAUCUUUACAUUUUCUCCAGAGAUGCUGACCCGUUGAGUUAAUGCAUAAACCAUCAUCUGCAGUUCAUUUUUAUUACAAUGCACAUUGUAUUCCAUUUCUGAAAUUUGGUCAGAUGAUUUAAAGUAAAUACUACAUCCGUAUGUUAGUAAUGUGCGUAUUUCUCCAUGUCUGUCCAUUAACUAUUUUUCCAGUAUUAACAACUGCUCAUAACAUCUUAAGGAAAUGGAUAAUCAAGGAAAUCAGUAAUUGGUGAUUCUGUGCUGUAAGAUCUUCAAUAGCAACAUAACAAUUUUGCGGUGAAAUGACUAAAAUUGGACAUAAUACUUACAAAGAUCAUUGUUUUAAUUAUUAUAUUGGUUCCCAAGCACUAGGUAUUUAUGAUUUGAUCACCUGGAUUUUCUUAUCACUCCUUCCCCAACCUUUCAAUUAGAAAAUGUUGCAAUAUAUGCAAAGUGGUUUUCAGUCUUUGUCUAUGCAUUAUUACAAGAAUAACAUUUUAAUGUACACUUAAUCCCAGUUUCACUGCAUUUUGCAUUUACUGUCUUUGUUUACUGAAACCAUAAUUAGCAUUCUGAUGCACUUAAAAUAAAAAUCUUAAAGAUUUUCAUUUUAUCUCCAAUUAAAAUGCAGAAUCACAAUUAGUCACAACACGUCCCUUUAGCUGUUCCUGUAGUCAUAUGAUAUUUCCUUUUUUUAAAUGUGCAGUGCAUUUCAUCUACAUUGAUGGAUGAAUCCCUCUAGACAAAAGGUAUUAGUGUUCCGUAUUGUUACAAGGAAAUUAGUGUCAUUAGUUACAUUUCAUUGCUUCAGAUUUUACAGAUGUAUAGAUACAUCAAAAUGAUGGACAUCAUUAUUAAUGUACAAUAGACCAAGUGUGGACCCGUUGGGUCCCUGUAACAUGGAAGUAUUACAUCAAAAGGGCCUCCCAUUAAAAAAAUCAGCAAAUGCCCAUAUACAGAUUCUGUCUUCAGUAAAUGUGUUAUAGGUAUAUGACCAUUAGUAGAUACAUUUAUUCCUGGUUCAAACCUAUACGACCCAUGGAGCUGUUUGGUAUAGAAGUCACAGGUUUAGGAGAAUUUAGAAGAUUGAGAGGGGAUCUUAUAGAGACUUACAAAAUUCUUAAGGGGUUGGACAGGCUAGAUGCAGGAAGAUUGUUCCCGAUGUUAGGGAAGUCCAGGACAAGGGGUCACAGCUUAAGGAUAAGGGGGAAAUCAUUUAAAACCGAGAUGAGAAGAACUU